rnacentral:rRNA from 1 species
GAUGAACGCUGGCGGCGUGCCUAAUACAUGCCAGUCGAGCGAACGGACGAGAAGCUUGCUUCUCUGAUGUUAGCGGCGGACGGGUGAGUAACACGUGGAUAACCUACCUAUAAGACUGGGAUAACUUCGGGAAACCGGAGCUAAUACCGGAUAAUAUUUUGAACCGCAUGGUUCAAAAGUGAAAGACGGUCUUGCUGUCACUUAUAGAUGGAUCCGCGCUGCAUUAGCCAGUUGGUAAGGUAACGGCUUACCAAGGCAACGAUGCAUAGCCGACCUGAGAGGGUGAUCGGCCACACUGGAACUGAGACACGGUCCAGACUCCUACGGGAGGCAGCAGUAGGGAACCUUCCGCAAUGGGCGCAAGCCUGACGGAGAAACGCCGCGUGAGUGAUGAAGGUCUUCGGAUCGUAAAACUCUGUUAUUAGGGAAGAACAUAUGUGUAAGUAACUGUGCACAUCUUGACGGUACCUAAUCAGAAAGCCACGGAUAACUACGUG